rnacentral:rRNA from 1 species
UACAGAGGGUGCGAGCGUUAAUCGGAAUUACUGGGCGUAAAGGGCGCGUAGGCGGUUUUGAAAGUAAGAUGUGAAAUCCCUGGGCUUAACCUAGGAACUGCAUCUUAGACUAUGAAGCUAGAGUACAGUAGAGGGUGGCGGAAUUUCCGGUGUAGCGGUGAAAUGCGUAGAGAUCGGAAGGAACAUCAGUGGCGAAGGCGGCCACCUGGACUGACACUGACGCUGAGGCGCGAGAGCGUGGGGAGCAAACAGG